GGGCCAUUAGCUCAGUUGGUUAGAGCAGAGGACUCAUAACCCUUUGGUCCUUGGUUCAAGUCCAAGAUGGCCCA
rnacentral:tRNA from 1 species